CUAGGACAAAUUUUUAAAUGUAAAUAGUGACUUACCAUUUUAAAGCAAAGUGUUUUCUACAUUUAAAAAAAAAUUAAACGUGUAAGAAUAAACAUGCAUAUUUAAUUUGUUAUUUUUUCAUUUUUUUAAAAAUUAAAUAUAUAACAUUAAGUUCUUCAUGAGCACAACAGCCCCUUGCAAACCUUGGCUACCUUAACCACACAUACUUUCCAGCGUUUUCUAUCCCCCACAACUCCCUUCCAGUUUUUUAUACUCAGAACACUCAGAUCUCUUUCCACGUCAUCCAACCAUCUAGUUGUAGUUCUUUCUAUGGCCCAGGAUCCCAUAGGAUUUUAAAAGUGGAUAUUUUGAUUGCGCUGCUUUCAGGGCUUCUCCAGAUAUGGCCGAGCCAUCUUAAUCUAUUGCUCCAGAUAACCAGUGUUAUCUAUGGUUGCCAAUAGAGUUUGUAUAAUUCAAAAUUGAAUGUUAUUCACCAAAAUCCUCUCUCUAGUACUGGACCAAAGAUACUUCUAAGGAUCUUUCUCUCAAACAUGUUCCGAGAAUGCUGAGCGUCCAAGUUUCACUUGCAUAGAACAGAACAGGCACAAUAAGAUAAAUUCUUAGUUUAGUUUUUUAUAGUUUUUCGACUGAUUCAUUUGGAUCUUAGUUGUUUUUUUAUCCAAAGAAAUAUUUAUUAGCCAUUUUUAUUCUGUUGUCAAUUUCUACUCUGGGAUUAUUAGUAUCAUUAAUCAUUGUGGCAAGGUAUUUGAACUGAUCAACUUUUUCGAAAGUAUGACACUGUGAUUUAUAGUUGAGGGCGGGAAUUCCAUAAGUUUGGUUUUAUCUUUGUUGAUGGCCCAUAUUUAUGGCAGAAGUUUCCAAAACUUGGAAGGCCUCUCUCACUACCCUUUCUGACCUUCCAAUAAUAUUUAUAUCAUUUGCAUAUGCCAUCAGUUGAAUGGAUCUAAUCCACAGAGUGCCCUUUUGGUCUAAUCCACUAUCUCGGAUACAUUUCUCCAAGGCAAUGUUAAAAAGCAGAGAAGCAAAGGAAUCCCCUUGAUGCAGACCUCUCUCUGUUGUAAAGGGCUCUGAUAAAUGGAUUUGGAUUUUAACCCUGCACCUUGCAUUAUUAAGUGUAGCCUUAGUUAAAUUAACAAGUUUAAUAAACUCUUCCAUUGCUUCAAAUAGCUUAUCUCUUUUUAUACUGAUGUGAGCAGCCUUAAAGUAUAAAUAAGUAAAAAGUUUUGAUGUUACAUUCUUUGAUUUUUUCCAAAAUUUGUCUUAAAGUGUGAAUUUGGUCUAUAGUAGAUUUUUGCUAUCUAAAUCCACUCUGGAGUCUCCACUCACUUUGUCAGUAUGAGGUAGUAGUCUUGCAAAAAGCAAGUUGGAGAAGAUUAUAUGUUGUAUUGAGGAAUGUUUUUGCACCUUGUUGAGGUUCCUGAACUGGUAACAUUAAAAUCCUUGAUUACUGCUACUGUAUGCAGACCAACUCCACCUUGAGACAGAUAUACAACAUUUACUCUGUGUUAGAUUAGUUUUGUUCAAAAUAUUAAAUUUUGGAAACUUAUGAAUAUUACAUACUUAACAGAGUUUUCAAGUGUCUUGAGAGCAUAAAAAGAGAUUUAAAAAAAAUUAUUAAAUCUGUGAUAUUUCUUUACCAUUUGAAAAUGAUAGUGAGCUGAUAGAACUAAACAUGCGUCUUAGAGAAGAUAAAAAUUUGACUGCAACUUUGCUGCAGCAGCCUUAAAAUAUCCAGGUACCCAAAGGGGAGAGCUUGCCGAGAAAUUUGGUCGCAUGUUGGCAUCAGCUUGUGACUGGGACGACCAUAGAAUGACAAAAAAGUCAAAAGUCUCUGAUUGUAACAAAUUUUUAUAUUUGAAAAAAAUUAAUAGAAAGAAUAAAUGAAUUUUAUAAAUAUUGAGAUAUAAAGAAUAAUAAUAUUCUUCUUUAUAGAUAUAAGAAUAAAAGAAUUCAAAAAACAAACCAGCAUUUUUCCCAGCCAAGGUGGUCUAAUUACAACAGUGGGGAAAAUAGAUUCUUAUCAAUCUGGUUAUCUUACUAACUGACCUCUUCCCUUCCCAACUUUUUUCUCAGAUUACUGUUCUUUUCAGUAUUUUGAGACUAACACUUUUCGAUGGUUCUGUUGUAUUAAAGGGGGAGACGCUGAAGGAUGUGCACAUUUCUAGAACUUAAUUUUAUUGUUAAAUAUAAACAUCUCUUUUCGUCUUUCGCCUGGCCCCUAUUUUGCUGAAUUAAACCCAUCCUAACGCACGCACAAAGGAGAGCAGAAUGUUUUAGAACUAUAUGUUGGCAAACAAUACCAAUAUAUAGUUUUAAACUAAACUAUGAAUUGAAUUCGUUUUUGCAAAACUAACACACCUUGGAAAUCUUUAAUUUUUCAAUCUAAAAGCAUUAAGAUUUUUCUAUAAUUUAAUUGAUGUAACCUAUCUUCAUUUAUUUCAACAAUUUUACCAAAGAAACCCUAGGUUACAAGUUGUCUUUUCAUUAAUAAUAUUAUAUAAAUAUGAAAAAAAGGGAGGAAAACACAUUCAGAGAUAUAAAUGCAUUAAAAUAUUCUACAUAUUUACAUUUUUUGUGCAGAAUUUAUAAGUGAUGUUUAAUGCAAAUAAAUAAUUUUUUUUGGAAAGUAUAUUAAUUUUCAAAUUCUGUAGCUCCUGUAUUUUUUUUUCUGAGGACUUAAUUUAUAUAUAUAUACAUUGCAUUGAUAGGCGAAAACCUUAACAUCUUACAAUUUUUGUCUUUGUCCUUUUCAGAGGAGGAUAUACUUCAACCAUUCUUAGACAAACUAUGAAAAGACGGGAUUUUAAAUUUCUUGUUUUAACGUCCAACACGGCAGCUUAAAGCAAGAAAAUUGCUCUUAUGUAUUUGUUCCAGGUUCAAAACAGAAUUCGAUCUGACUAUUGUAUAUUAUAACAAGCAUCGGCCAGAACAAAACAAAAAUUUGAUGUGUUUUUUGCAUUUGGCUGCGUAUUAAUUUUUUUAAACCAAAAAUUGAAGAUUUUAAGCAAAAAAAUAUAUGAACUACAGCAUGGUGGAUUCAAUAUUUUUAUAUAUAUCCUGUUUUCUAUAUUUUCAGUAAACGAAAUACUCAUAUUAAUUAUUCUGCACAUGUGAUUCUUUGUAUUUAUACAUUGUAAACAGUUAUUUAUUUCCAGAAUAUGUUCUAUUUGGAAUCAUUGGUAAAGUAGUUACAUUAAAUGUUUGUUCAUGGAUGGAAGACUUGGCUCAGAUGAACAAUAAAUAUUUAAAAUUCUUUUAUAAUAUGUUUCCCGUGAAAAGACAAACUUCUACACGUGUUUAGUCCAAAUAAUUUGACCACAGAAUCAACAGUGGUCUUUUCUAGAGGAGCAAAAUGAACCAGAAAAUACUUGGUUAAAUUUGCAAUAUAAUCAUUACAAAUUUAUUCAAGUAUUCUUUUAUAUUUCAAGUAUUAUAGUUUUUGUUUGUAUAUAGUUUGUUAAUUACAGAUAAAUUCUUUGGUGUCAUUAAUUUUUCCAAUUCUUGGAUAAGAACAAAAUUUUUUUAUAUGUGAACUCUGAUUUACAUUUGUAGAACAAAUGUAAAUUGUCUUGGAGAAGAUAAAAAUUUGACUGCAACUUUGGUAAGAGAAAGUUACAUAUGUCAUCUUUAAGAAGAUGUUUUAAUGUUUGUUUCAUUUAAAACUGUAUACUUGGAAAAACUCUUUUGAUCAAACAUCCAUCAUUUAUAUUAAGUAGAAUUGCAUCCUUUCAGUUCCAGACUGAACCAUUAUUGAAUUUAUUUUAAUGUACCUCAUAUUUACAAUUUUUUCCUAUAAAAUAGCAAAACCUUAAAUUAAUUUUAAAAAUAAAAAAAAUAGCUAUAUAUUGUUUCCUUUUAGGCUCAUUACCUUUAUGCUACUUCUAUAGCGGAAACUAUUACUGCUUUCUUACUUAACAUAUGUAAGAAUGUGAUGAGUCAAAGUAUAGGCAGUGCGAUAUAGUUGCUUAGAAAGGAAAGGAAAAAAUAUUUUGAAGUUGUUGAAGAAAUAUACAGUGCAAUUCUUGCUGCAGCUGCCUUAAAAUUUCCAGACACCCAAAGAGAAUAACUUGCGGAGAAAUUUGGUUGUGUGUUGGCAUCAGCUUGCGACUGGAAUGGUUGUAGAGUAACGAAAAAAAUCAAAAGUCUCUGACUGCAAAAAAUAAUUUUUAUAUUUGAAAAAAUUUAAUAGGAAGAAUAAAUUAAUUUUAUAUCCA